AUGGAGCGCUGAUAACACUCUUGCAGAAGGAAGCUGCUACAUUGGAGAUGCCUGUGUGACCAGGAACUGUCCCAGUUCCUGCAGGACCCUCAGUCCUACAAUCUGCAAGAAAUCGAAUUCUGCCAGCAAGCAAGUGAGUGAGUUUAAGUCAUGUCCUGUUCCAGCCAAGCCUAUUAGGAUGAUACUGCAGCCCCAGACCUUAAUGGUAGACUCUGAGAGACCCUAAAACAGAGGAGCCAGGUAAACCUCGAUGGCUGACCUACAGAAAUCAUGAGAUACCCGUGCUGUUGUUUCAAGCAUCUCUGCUUUGAGUUCAUGCUGCCUAUUGGAUGGAAUCUCAGAGGGCGCUAUCAGCUGGAACACUGAACAUUGGCCUUCCCACGUGGCUGGAGCUUCCUUACAACAUGGCGACGAGUUCCAACAGUGAGCGUGCUGAGGCAGAGCCCGGUGAAAGCUUCACUGCCUUUUGUAACCUAGCCUUAGAGCUCAUGCAGAGUCCCUUCCACCACCCUGCCUCUAUUCACUGAGGCAGUCACAAAGACUGUCCAUAUUCAAGGGGUAGGGGACUGGAUUCCACCGUUUGUAGGGAGCAGUGCCAAAGAAUUUGCGGACAUGUUUCAAAACAUACAGCCCCUGCUCUGUGGACACUGAUUAUCCUUGUUCUGGUCCCAUGUAUACUCUGUGGGCUACUCCUUUUUACUGGGGGAUGGGAGGUUGGGAUUUUUCAGUCCUGAGUCAAACCUCCCUUCCUGGGGCCAGUGUGAAUAUAUGGGGAGAAGGCUGAGACUGUGAACUCACAGCCAGACCAGAACUGUGUACAAUGAGAGACUGAGGUUUCUCCAAACAAGGGACGGCAGGCAGACAAAAACAUAUGUCCUUUCUGAAUAAUAAAUAAAUAAACACACAAGUACAUAAUGAUCCACGGUGAAAAGUGCUCUGUUGGCAAAAGACAGGAUGCUUGUAAGAGUGACUCAGGUGGGGUGGGCAGUGGAGAUGGAGCCUUGGACUGAGUAAUCAGGGACUAUCUUCAGAGGAGGUGAUUUAUACCGAGGCUUGAAGAGUGAGAAGGGAUCAGCCGGGGGAAAGACUGGGCUUCAGGCAGAGUUUAACCCACGCAGAGGCCCUGAGAUGUGAAAGCGUGGCAUAUUCAAAGACUUAAGUGGCCACGUGGCUGGAGCAGCCUGAAGAAAUUGGGGCAUGGCAGAGAUGAGGCUUGACCACACAGUGUCUUGAAGGCCAUGAUAAGAGUUGGGAUUUAAGCCUGUG
rnacentral:lncRNA from 1 species